UACGUAGGGGGCAAGCGUUAUCCGGAAUUACUGGGUGUAAAGGGAGCGUAGACGGUAAUGUAAGUCUGGAGUGAAAGGCGGGGGCCCAACCCCCGGACUGCUCUGGAAACUAUGUUACUGGAGUGCUGGAGAGGCAAUCGGAAUUCCGUGUGUAGCGGUGAAAUGCGUAGAUAUACGGAGGAACACCAGUGGCGAAGGCGGAUUGCUGGACAGUAACUGACGCUGAUGCGCGAAAGCGUGGGUAGCAAACAGG
rnacentral:rRNA from 1 species